UACGUAGGUGGCGAGCGUUGUCCGGAUUUACUGGGCGUAAAGAGCGCGCAGGCGGUCGUACAAGUCGCGUGUGAAAGCCCCUGGCUCAACUGGGGAGGGUCACGCGAUACUGUUCGACUCGAAGGCAGGAGAGGGAAGUGGAAUUCCCGGUGUAGUGGUGAAAUGCGUAGAUAUCAAGUGGAACACCAGUGGCGAAGGCGAGUCCCUGGACAAGACCUGACACUGAGGCACGAAAGCCAGGGGAGCAAACAGG
rnacentral:rRNA from 1 species